AUGUCCCCCCGGGUGGGCGAGAGCGUGGCGAGGUCGGGGCCCCCCAGCAGGCCAGGGAGAGGCUGCCCGGGAUCUGCCCGCUCGGUGGGCGCGGAGGCUCCCCGGCCGGCUGGCAUCGCGGCUGACUCGCUCCUGUUUCCUCGCAGGCUCCUUGACGUCCAUGUUCGUCCGGCUGCCCUGCGGCGGCGUCGGGGUAAGUGUCGGCUCCUUCGCGGCUCUGCUUCGGGGGGGCAGCGGCCCUCCCGGCCUCGGGGACCCCCCUGCUCUGGGCCGGCCGGCGGUCCUGCCCUGGUGUGGGGAGCUUCCAGCGUGGACGUCCUCUCCACCGGGCCGCUUCGGACCUGGCACGGUUGCCCGGAGGUCACCCGGGAUGCCAGGGUGGAUCUCUGCCCCUGGGCACGGGGCAGGGGGGUCUCUGCACAGAGCGGGCUCUGCGGGCACUGCCACGUCCCAGAAGGGGGGACGCCGCCCCUCGUCAGCGCCAGUCGGCCGGGAUCGCUCCCGCCAGGCGCCUCGGCCCGAGCACCCCCGCAAAGACUGUCAUGUGACCGGCGAGGCCCGACGUCCAGAUGCCAUCAAGAAAUGAGGCAACGUCGCUGCUUCGAGCUUCAUCCGUCGGCAGGCGCCCCGGGAGCGCCCCAGCCUCCCCCCAGCCUCCGUUCCGGGCUCAGCCCAGAGCCGCGUCUCCGAUUUUCACACGCAGACAGAAUGGGGACGAGGGGCACCGGGGGUAAACCGAGGCACACGGGCCCCUUUACUUCAGGCUUCAAACACCGCAGAGUGGACGGGGGGGGGGGGUCGGCCUUCACGGGGCUGCGCCCCACGGACGAGGGGCAGCACCACAGAGCUGACCGGAGGCCUCGCUCGGUCCCUUUCUGUGUGGCGUCCUCGGAGCGAGCUCGCCCAUCUGCCUCGCGCCCUUCCUGGAGAGAGGGUGCCGGGCCGCGGGCUCCGAGGUUUGAGCCGAAGGGGAUGGAGGAAGAACCCAGGAGAAGGACUAAUGCAUGUGGAAAGGAGCAAAGGCGAGAUUCGAACUCAGGGCCUCAGCCCCAGAGCUGGGCGCUCGUCUUCUGGGAGCCCGGAAGGUUUUCCCCCUCAGCCGGAUGCCACCAUGUUGCUCUUCCUCCAUCCUGGCGGCCGUGA
rnacentral:lncRNA from 1 species